rnacentral:rRNA from 1 species
GACGAACGCUGGCGGCGUGCUUAACACAUGCAAGUCGAACGGAAAGGCCUUGCUUUUGUGGGGUGCUCGAGUGGCGAACGGGUGAGUAACACGUGAGUAACCUGCCCUUGACUUUGGGAUAACUUCAGGAAACUGGGGCUAAUACCGGAUAGGAGCUCCUGCUGCAUGGUGGGGGUUGGAAAGUUUCGGCGGUUGGGGAUGGACUCGCGGCUUAUCAGCUUGUUGGUGGGGUAGUGGCUUACCAAGGCUUUGACGGGUAGCCGGCCUGAGAGGGUGACCGGCCACAUUGGGACUGAGAUACGGCCCAGACUCCUACGGGAGGCAGCAGUGGGGAAUAUUGCACAAUGGGCGGAAGCCUGAUGCAGCAACGCCGCGUGCGGGAUGGCGGCCUUCGGGUUGUAAACCGCUUUCGCCUGUGACGAAGCGUGAGUGACGGUAAUGGGUAAAGAAGCACCGGCUAACUACGUG